AUUGAACGCUGGCGCCAGGCCUAACACAUGCAAGUCGAGCGGAGCGCCGGACUGGUGAGUAAUGCCUAGUCAUCUGCCUGUUAGUGGGGGAUAACGUCCGCAAACGGGCGCUAAUCCCGCAUCCUAUCAGAUUCGCCUAGGUCGGAUUAGCUAGUUGGGGCGGUAAUGGCCUACCAAGGCGACGAUCCUUCACUGGUAUGAGAGGAUGAUCAGUCACACUGGAACUGAGAAACGGUGCAGACGACUAAGGGAGGCAGCAGGGGGGAAUAGUGGACAAUGGGCGAAAGCCUGAGCCAGCCAUGCCGCGUGGGUGAAGAAGGGCUUCGGAUGGUAAAGCACGUUAAGUUGGGAGGCGUUACCAACAGAAGAAGCACCGGCUAACUUCGUGCCAGCAGCCGCGGUAAUUC
rnacentral:rRNA from 1 species